CACACACACACACACACACACACAGAAAUGCUAUGAAACCCUCAUCCCACCAUUAAAUUUUUUUUUUUUUUUUAGAUUUUAUUUACUUAUUCAUGAGAGACAGAAAGAGAGAGGCCGAGACACAGGCAGAGGGAGAAGCAGGCUCCAUGCAAGGAGCCUGAUGCGGGACUCAAACCCGGGAACCCGGGAUUGCCCUGGACCAAAGGCAGGCACUCAAGCACUGAGCCACUCAGGCAUCCCCCACCAUUAAUUAUCUAUGGAGUUUUGAUCAAGGCACCUCAGCCUUCCUUGGCCUCAAGGUCACAAGUUCGUGGUGGAGCUGAGAUGAACAUCCACGAUUUUUGUCUCACACUCUGUAUUCUGCUGCUUGGGACAAGAACAGUGAAGACCAAGAAGCUGGCCUCAACUACAAGUACUUCUGUGCCUUGGAUGAUGACUUACCGCUUUUCAGGUGGCUUCUUACUUAAAUGCCAUGGAAAGGGGAGCAACCCAGCCGGGGCAAGCAGGAGAGAUGUCACAGGUACAGCGCAGCCUCUGGGGAGACUGGAACCUGAUUUGGUUGGACUCCUACAGUCUUGUCCUACUUUCGUGUUUUUCCUCUUUUUUUUUUUUUUUUUUGGUUGCAAAAAUGCAAAGCAUUCACACUUCUUUGCUUUCUCUCCAUGUCUUUGUUUUCCUAAAGAUCUAUAUAGUUUUCUCUGAAUUCACUAACUACACAUUUAUAUUCUAGUAAUUCUGAUACGUUUCUCUCUAAUCUGAAUUUCCUCUCCAAUCAGUCUACCUGUGCAACAUCUAACUUACAUGUCUUCCUGAUUUGAUGCCAUUUAGGACAUAUUUUUUGAUUAGUCCUUUUUUCUUAUUUUAUAAUGCAUUUUAUAAUAUAACGCUAGAAAGGAUGGUAUGACAGUGCAGGUCUUUCAUUGUAUUCUUAUAAAAGUGACAUCUUCUUUAUCAGGUGUAAUUGCUAAACUUAGAAGCAGUAUUUAUUGACCAUCAUCAUUUACUUUUUUCUGCUUCUUGCCCCAAUUUAAAAAUACGUUGCUAUCUUCCACUUCGAUCUUCUCUACUCCAACACACGUACUGUUUUCUGGCAUUUUUUUUAUAGCAUGUUUUGUAUGUGUUAGUGUGUGUAUGCUGAAUUUUGUCAAAUGCAUUUCCUGCAUCAACUAAUGACAUCAGGUGACUUUUCACCUUAGUUUGUUGACAUGAUGAUGGAUUGCAUCAUUUGAUUUCAAAUGUUGAACCAGCCUUGCAUCCCUGGAAUAACUCCAACUUGGUCAUGGUGUAUAAUUCCUUUUACACACUGGUAGAUUCAAUUGCUAAUAUUUUUUGAUUUUUUUUUUUGCAUCUAAAUUCAUGAGAGACAUUGGUUUGUAGUUUUAUUUUGUUUUGUUUUAAUGCUUUUUCAGUCUGAUUUUGAAUACUGGCUUCAUGAAAUGAGUUGGGAAAUGCGGUUUCCUCUGCUGUUUUCUGAAAUAGAGUGUAAUUUAAAAAAAUCAGUUUAUUUAAACAAAAAGAAUAUAUCAUUCAUUUCUUCUAUCCCUCCAACCUGCACCCCCCACCCCCACCCCUCCUCUGGCAACCACCAACACCUGUUUUCUGGAUCUA
ensembl:lncRNA